AAUGAACGCUGGCGGCGUGCCUAACACAUGCAAGUCGGAUGUGCCCGCAAGGGUGCAUGGCAGACGGGUGAGUAACGCGUGGGGAAUCUACCUUUUAGUGGGGAAUAACGCUCCGAAAGGAGUGGUAAUACCGCAUGUGACCAUCGGCUGGGAUGCUGAUGGUGAAACCCUGGGACCUUCGGGCCAGGGGCUAGAAGAGGAUCCUGCGUCUGAUUAGCUAGUUGGCGGGGUAACGGCCCACCAAGGCGACGAUCAGUAGCCGGCCUGAGAGGGUGAUCGGCCACACGGGAACUGAGACACGGUCCCGACUCCUACGGGGGGCAGCAGUGAGGAAUAUUGGGCAAUGGGCGAAAGCCUGACCCAGCAACGCCGCGUGGAGGAUGAAGGCUUUAGGGUUGUAAACUCCUUUUGUGGGGAAAGAAUGGAUGGUACCCCAAGAAUAAGUCACGGCUAACUACGUG
rnacentral:rRNA from 1 species